rnacentral:tRNA from 1 species
AUUUCGAUAGCUCAAAAAGAGUGCUACAUUGAAGCUGUAGAGGUAGUUUAACUUCGGGAUA